rnacentral:lncRNA from 1 species
AUGGUUGUUCAGAAACCCGUGUUCAAGCCCUGCAGGUUUAUGAUGACAUUUUACAAGCUCAAGUGUGCCGAGAACGAAAUUUCUAUCGAGACACCAUUUGCUCCGCUGGACUUUGAGCAGAUUGCCUCAGACAUCCACUUCCGACCAGAAAUAGUAGAGCAGUGCAUCCAUGAGACCCUGCUUCUCUUCGCUGGUGCCCUCCUGGACAAAAAGGAUGUGGAAUUCUUCUUCAAGGGUAUCGGGAUUCUUACUGUGCGAAGAAAAGUGGUCACCAUGAACUUCUACACUGAGUUCCUGCUGGAGGUGGAUGACACAGACAACAUGUAUGAAGCUCUUCUCACGGACUCCAAGAUGACGGAUAUGAUUGCAUCUGACGGCAAAAAUAAAUAUACUCGUAUCAGUGGAAAUAGUUUCAUCACACUACCAACGCUUAUACUUCAGGACCCGCACUGCAAUCCGAUUUCCAUCAAGCCCAAAAGAGAUCCGCAGCCUUGGGGCAAGGGUGGCCGAAGAGGUAAUGUCCCAGUGGGCUUCUGGCAGGGGGUUGCAUGUUCUCCUCUCGUCCUCGCACGCAGGAGAGCCAAUGUUGAUGUGUGGGGCAUGGGAGAGAAGGCAGCUGUGUGGGACAAAAUGCCCCAGGAAUGGUGGCUCCUAGGGUCGGCAAUGAGUGUGGGUGGGCACGGCUGA